CUGACCUGCCCAGUGAUUAAUUUAACGGCCGCGGUAUACUGACCGUGCAAAGGUAGCAUAAUCAUUAGUCUUUUAAUAGAGGGCUGGAAUGAAAGGUUUAACGAGGAACUGACUGUCUCAUUUUAUUUGUGUUAAAAUUUAAUUUUUUAGUUAAAAAGCUAAAAUUUUAUUGGAAGACGAGAAGACCCUAUAGAUCUUUAUAAAAAUAUAUUUAAUUAUUAUUAUAUUAAUAUAAUUAUUUAUAUUUUUAUUUUGUUGGGGUGACAAAAAUAUAAAUAUAACUUUUUUAUUUAUUUAACAUUGAUUUAUGAAUAUAUGAUCCAUUAUUAGUGAUUAUUAGAUUAAGUUACCUUAGGGAUAACAGCGUAAUCCUCCUCCAGAGUUCAUAUUUACAGGAUGGGCUUGCGACCUCGAUGUUGGAUUAAGAUAAUAAUCAGGUGUAGCCGCUUGAUUUAUAGGUCUGUUCGACCUUUAA
rnacentral:rRNA from 1 species